UAGCUACAGGCUUAACACAUGCAAGUCGAGGGGUAGCAGGGUAGCAAUACCGCUGACGACCGGCGCACGGGUGAGUAACACGUAUCCAACCUUCCCAUAACUCGAGGAUAGCCUUUCGAAAGAAAGAUUAAUACCCGAUAGUGCUUUAUUAAGGCAUCUUAAGAAAGUUAAAGAUUUAUUGGUUAUGGAUGGGGAUGCGUUCCAUUAGAUAGUUGGUGAGGUAACGGCUCACCAAGUCUUCGAUGGAUAGGGGUUCUGAGAGGAAGGUCCCCCACAUUGGUACUGAGACACGGACCAAACUCCUACGGGAGGCAGCAGUGAGGAAUAUUGGUCAAUGGGCGAGAGCCUGAACCAGCCAAGUAGCGUGAAGGAUGACGG
rnacentral:rRNA from 1 species